rnacentral:lncRNA from 1 species
UGCCAAGUCAUGGUUAGUAGCUAGUUUGCAAACCCCCUCAUUUAAACAGAUAUUAAUUAUGUUCCUUUAUAAGAACUAUUAGAAGAGAGUACAUCCAUAAAUUGGGAAGUGCAUGUAUAUUUCAACUACUACUCUCCCUAAGAAAAAAAAAAAAAAAGAGUCGGAGGUUUUUGUCUUAUAAGACUUGAUCCCAAUUAAUCUCUCAAUUUCCAUAACGAAUCAUUCAACACGAUAA